UACGUAGGGGGCAAGCGUUGGUCCGGAUUUAUUGGGCGUAAAGAGCGUGUAGGCGGCCUUACAGGUCAGCUGUGAAACAUCGAGGCUCAACCUCGAGACGUCGGUUGAAACCGUAAGACUAGAGUCCGGAAGAGGAGAGUGGAAUUCCCGGUGUAGCGGUGAAAUGCGCAGAUAUCAGGAGGAACACCGGUGGCGAAGGCGGAUCUCUGGGCCUUACCUGACGCUCAGGUGCGAAAGCUAGGGGAGCGAACAGG
rnacentral:rRNA from 1 species